rnacentral:rRNA from 1 species
CAGGGAUUGCCUCAGUAGCGGCGAGUGAAGCGGCAAAAGCUCAAAUUUGAAAUCUGGCGUCUUUGGCGUCCGAGUUGUAAUUUGAAGAAGGUAUCUUUGGGCCCGGCUCUUGUCUAUGUUCCUUGGAACAGGACGUCACAGAGGGUGAGAAUCCCGUGCGAUGAGAUGACCCGGGUCUGUGUAAAGUUCCUUCGACGAGUCGAGUUGUUUGGGAAUGCAGCUCUAAGUGGGUGGUAAAUUCCAUCUAAAGCUAAAUAUUGGCGAGAGACCGAUAGCGAACAAGUACAGUGAUGGAAAGAUGAAAAGAACUUUGAAAAGAGAGUGAAAAAGUACGUGAAAUUGUUGAAAGGGAAGGGCUUGAGAUCAGACUUGGUAUUUUGCAUGUUGCUCUCUCGGGGGCGGCCGCUGCGGUUUACCGGGCCAGCAUCGGUUUGGAGCGGCAGGAUAAUGGCGGAGGAAUGUGGCACGGCUUCUGCUGUGUGUUAUAGCCUCUGACGAUACUGCCAGCCUAGACCGAGGACUGCGGUUUUUACCUAGGAUGUUGGCAUAAUGAUCUUAAGUCGCCCGUCUUGAAACACGGACCAAGGAGUCUAACGUCUAUGCGAGUGUUUGGGUGUAAAACCCGUACGCGUAAUGAAAGUGAACGAAGGUGGGGGCCCAUUAGGGUGCACCAUCGACCGAUCCUGAUGUGUUCGGAUGGAUUUGAGUAAGAGCAUAGCUGUUGGGACCCGAAAGAUGGUGAACUAUGCCUGAAUAGGGUGAAGCCAGAGGAAACUCUGGUGGAGGCUCGUAGCGGUUCUGACGUGCAAAUCGAUCGUCGAAUUUGGGUAUAGGGCGAAAGACUAAUCG